AUGGGGAAGGGAAAGGAAAGACCCUGAAAAACAGUCUGAAGAAUGGGAAGCGUCAAGAACAGGUCAAUGCCAGAUGCACUUUUGACUCAUGGACCAGACUCAGCUUGAUGACUAAACCUAUCCAGUACCAAAAAGGACUUGCCCCAUUCCCGACCGUCUUUCUAUAGUCUACUACUUCUCGUGGACCUGAAGCUCUCUCACGAUUGGGCAUUGAGGCUGUUUCAGGAGUGAUUUUUCUAAUUCGUCACAUGUUCCUGGUUUCUCAAGGACUGGCUUGUCAAAUGUCAUUGCUGAGACUAUGAGUGU
rnacentral:lncRNA from 1 species